CUACGUGCCAGCAGCCGCGGUAAUACGUAGGUCCCGAGCGUUGUCCGGAUUUAUUGGGCGUAAAGCGAGCGCAGGCGGUUAGAUAAGUCUGAAGUUAAAGGCUGUGGCUUAACCAUAGUACGCUUUGGAAACUGUUUAACUUGAGUGCAAGAGGGGAGAGUGGAAUUCCAUGUGUAGCGGUGAAAUGCGUAGAUAUAUGGAGGAACACCGGUGGCGAAAGCGGCUCUCUGGCUUGUAACUGACGCUGAGGCUCGAAAGCGUGGGGAGCAACCAGGAUUAGAUACCCUGGUAGUCCACGCCGUAAACGAUGAGUGCUAGGUGUUAGACCCUUUCCGGGGUUUAGUGCCGUAGCUAACGCAUUAAGCACUCCGCCUGGGGAGUACGACCGCAAGGUUGAAACUCAAAGGAAUUGACGGGGGCCCGCACAAGCGGUGGAGCAUGUGGUUUAAUUCGAAGCAACGCGAAGAACCUUACCAGGUCUUGACAUCCCUCUGACCGCUCUAGAGAUAGAGCUUUCCUUCGG
rnacentral:rRNA from 1 species